rnacentral:rRNA from 1 species
UACGGAGGGUGCAAGCGUUAUCCGGAUUCACUGGGUUUAAAGGGUGCGUAGGUGGGUUGGUAAGUCAGUGGUGAAAUCUCCGAGCUUAACUCGGAACGGUCAGCUGAUACUGCUGUGCUAGAGUACAGAAGGGGCAAUCGGAAUUCUUGGUGUAGCGGUGAAAUGCGUAGAUAUCAAGAGGAACACCUGAGGUGAAGACGGGUUGCUGGGCUGAUACUGACGCUGAAGCGCGAAAGCUAGGGUAGCAAACGGG